ensembl:lncRNA
ACGGCAAAACGGUCUGAACUUCCAGGAGCACGUGUGAACCCAGGCAGCAGGAGUGAAGUUUUCAUUGAGGACAACAUCCCGAAUGAAACACAGAAGCAAGCUAUUGCUACAGUGGCUCGAGGUCAUGACAUCCCAGAGUAAGGACAAGAGACAGAAAGGCUACCCUGCGGCGAAGCGUAAGCCUCUGGGAAAAGAGAACAGCUGUGAGAGAGAAGGAAACUGUACCCAGUAGACGCAUAUGGAGAAGGUGCCUAGAGGGGAACCUGCAGUACAUCCCAGCGCCAAUGAUUUAUAAAAACUCAAGGGGUAUUAAAGACCUUACUGAAAACCGGAAAACACAAUCGAGUCACAGAAUCACAUGCGGAGAAUUUUGCUGCAGCCUUAGGAGCAGUGAGAGGCC